UAAGGAAUAUUGGACAAUGGAGGCAACUCUGAUCCAGCCAUGCCGCGUGAAGGAAUAAGGCCCUAUGGGUUGUAAACUUCUUUUAGACGGGACAAAACCCCUUUACUUGUAAAGGGUUGAUGGUACUGUCAGAAUAAGCAUCGGCUAACUUCGUGCCAGCAGCCGCGGUAAUACGAAGGAUGCAAGCGUUAUCCGGAAUUAUUGGGUUUAAAGGGUGCGUAGGCGGACUAAUAAGUCAGUGGUGAAAGCCUGCAGCUUAACUGCAGAAUUGCCAUUGAUACUGUUAGUCUUGAGUACAGUUGAGGUAGGCGGAAUGUUUCAUGUAGCGGUGAAAUGCUUAGAUAUGACACAGAACACCGAUUGCGAAGGCAGCUUGCUAAGCUGUAACUGACGCUGAGGCACG
rnacentral:rRNA from 1 species